rnacentral:rRNA from 1 species
GCUGGCGGCGUGCUUAACACAUGCAAGUCGAGCGGUAAGGCCCUUCGGGGUACACGAGCGGCGAACGGGUGAGUAACACGUGAGCAACCUGCCCCUGACUCCGGGAUAAGCCGGGGAAACCCGGUCUAAUACCGGAUAGGACGCUUCGUCGCAUGGCGGGGUGUGGAAAGGUUUCUUUCCGGUCAGGGAGGGGCUCGCGGCCUAUCAGCUUGUUGGUGGGGUGAAGGCCUACCAAGGCGAUUACGGGUAGCCGGCCUGAGAGGGCGACCGGCCACACUGGGACUGAGACACGGCCCAGACUCCUACGGGAGGCAGCAGUGGGGAAUAUUGCGCAAUGGGCGGAAGCCUGACGCAGCGACGCCGCGUGGGGGAUGACGGCCUUCGGGUUGUAAACCUCUUUUACCACCGACGCAGGCCCGUGCUUCUGUGCGGGUUGACGGUAGGUGGGGAAUAAGGACCGGCCAACUACGUGCCAGCAGCCGCGGUAAUACGUAGGGUCCGAGCGUUGUCCGGAAUUAUUGGGCGUAAAGAGCUCGUAGGUGGCGUGUCGCGUCUGCUGUGUAAGUCCGGGGCUUAACUCCGGUUUUGCAGUGGAUACGGGCAUGCUAGAGGUAGGCAGGGGAGACUGGAAUUCCUGGUGUAGCGGUGAAAUGCGCAGAUAUCAGGAGGAACACCGGUGGCGAAGGCGGGUCUCUGGGCCUUACCUGACGCUGAGGAGCGAAAGCGUGGGGAGCGAACAGGAUUAGAUAC